rnacentral:rRNA from 1 species
UACGAAGGGGGCUAGCGUUGCUCGGAAUCACUGGGCGUAAAGCGCACGUAGGCGGAUCUUUAAGUCAGGGGUGAAAUCCCGGAGCUCAACUCCGGAACUGCCUUUGAUACUGGGGAUCUUGAGUCCGGAAGAGGUGAGUGGAACUCCGAGUGUAGAGGUGAAAUUCGUAGAUAUUCGGAAGAACACCAGUGGCGAAGGUGGCUCACUGGUCCGGUACUGACGCUGAGGUGCGAAAGCGUGGGGAGCAAACAGG